UCUUGGCUAAUGUGUCUUGGCUAAGGUGUCUUGGCUAAUGUGUCUUGGCUAAUGUGUCUUGGCUAAGGUGUCUUGGCUAAGGUGUAUUGGCUAAGGUGUCUUGGCUAAUGUGUCUUGGCUAAUGUGUCUUGGCUAAGGUGUCUUGGCUAAGGUGUCUUGGCUAAUGUGUCUUGGCUAAUGUGUCUUGGCUAAGGUGUCUUGGCUUAUGUGUCUUGGCUAAUGUGUCUUGGCUAAUGUGUCUUGGCUAAUGUGUCUUGGCUAAGGUGUCUUAACUAAGGUGUCUUGGCUAAGGUGUCUUGGCUAAGGUGUCUUGGCUAAGGUGUCUUGGCUAAGUUGUCUUGGCUAAUGUGUCUUGGCUAAUGUGUCUUGGCUAAGGUGUCUUGGCUAAGGUGUCUUGGCUAAGGUGUCUUGGCUAAUGUGUCUUGGCUAAUGUGUCUUGGCUAAGGUGUCUUGGCUUAUGUGUCUUGGCUAAUGUGUCUUGGCUAAUGUGUCUUGGCUAAUGUGUCUUGGCUAAAGUGUCGUGGCUUAUGUGUCUUGGCUAAGGUGUCUUGGCUAAGGUGUCUUGGCUAAUGUGUCUUGGCUAAUGUGUCUUGGCUAAGGUGUCUUGGCUAAUGUGUCGUGUCUAAUGUGUCUCGGCUAAGGUGUCUUGGCUAAUGUGUCUUGGCUAAGGUGUCUUGGCUAAGGUGUCUUGGCUAAUGUGUCGUGUCUAAUGUGUCUUGGCUAAGGUGUCUUGGCUAAUGUGUCUUGGCUAAGGUGUCUUGGCUAAGGUGUCUUGGCUAAUGUGUCUUGGCUAAGGUGUCUUUGCUAAGGUGUCUUGGCUAAGGUGUCUUGGCUAAUGUGUCUUGGCUAAUGUGUCUUGGCUAAGGUGUCUUGGCUAAGGUGUCUUGUCUAAGGUGUCUUGGCUAAGGUGUCUUGGCUAAGGCAUCUUGGCUAAGAUGUCUUUGCUUAUGUGUCUCGGCUUAUGUGUCUUGGCUAAUGUGUCUUGGCUAAGGUGUCUUGGCUAAGGUGUCUUGGCUAAUGUGUCGUGUCUAAUGUGUCUCGGCUAAGGUGUCUUGGCUAAUGUGUCUUGGCCAAGGUGUCUUGGCUAAUGUGUCUUGGCUAAGGUGUCUUGGCUAAUGUGUCUUGGCCAAGGUGUGUUGGCUAAUGUGUCUUGGCUAAUGUGUCUUGGCUAAGGUGUCUUGGCUAAGGUGUCUUGGCUAAGGUUUCUUGGCUAAUGUGUCUUGGCUAAUGUGUCUUGGCUAAGGUGUCUUGGCUAAGGUGUCUUGGCUAAGGUGUCUUGGCCAAGGUGUCUUGGCUAAUGUGUCUUGGCUAAGGUGUCU